rnacentral:rRNA from 1 species
UACGGGGGGGGCAAGCGUUGUUCGGAAUUACUGGGCGUAAAGGGCGCGUAGGCGGCCUUCUAAGUCGGACGUGAAAUCCCUCGGCUUAACCGAGGAACUGCGUCCGAUACUGAAAGGCUUGAAUCCGGGAGAGGGAUGUGGAAUUCCAGGUGUAGCGGUGAAAUGCGUAGAUAUCAGGAGGAACACCAAUAGCGAAGGCAGCUCGCUGAGACGUUACUGACACUGAGGCGCGAAAGCGUGGGGAGCAAACAGG